AACAAAUACACACACAUACAACAUACAACAUUCUGCCUUCAUCGUUCUGGAGAAACCCUAUAAACUCACACAUGAAGAAAUUAUCUACACCAAAUAUCCAAAACCAUCAUUUCUCAAACAACAACACACCUACAAAACACAGGUCUCUCCCUACCUCUCGAUUUCCUGUUCAGGCCGACAACACCCCCCUUUUUCUCUCCUGUAACUCCUGUAACCGGAAAUCAGGAGCUCCGGCGACACCUCUCCGACCGGCGACGGGUUCUGAUGUCACACACAUGCAACCACCCAACCCCCCCUCCUGAUGACGUUCCGACGGCGGAGAGCCGUUGCCGUGCGGCUACGAAACCAGGUGAGACAGAGAAGUCGGGAGCGAGAGAGAGGAACCGAGGAGGUGGUGAGCGACGGAACCAGAGCCGUCGCCGGUCGACGGCGGCGGCAGCGGCAGUGGAGGCUGGAGGACGGCGGCGACAUUGUUUUCAAUAACUUUUACGGUAAACCUUCACAUCACUUGCCUUUUCUCUUCAUUUUUUUUUACUGAUGAUGACGAAUUGUUUCGGUUGUUGAUAUUGGUGUGAUGUUGAGGAUGAUGGAGGUGAUGACAGUCCUUAAUACUUUUGGACAUGUUCACCAGUGUUGGUGAUUUGCAGUUGCUGAUGAUGUUUGGUUAGAUUUCAGCUUUGGUCACGACUUCGGGUCAGUUUUGGAUCUCGGUCAAUGACGGUCAAAUGUGGUCAAGGCUGGUCAACGGCUCGGUUUUGGGUCUCGGUCAAAGCUGGUCAGCCGUGGUUCGGGUGUGCUUCAACGGGUCAGAUUGUAGUUCGUCACAAUUUGGGUCAACAAGUUAAACCCGGUCAACUCGGUUUGAUGUCGGGUCAACUCAGUCAACGACAGUCAAAGGCUUGGUCAACGACGGUCAAAGAAUAUUGUAGAAUGCACGCUAGCGAGUCACGUCUCGGAAACGACAUCUCGAAGUCUUCAAUAGCUAGCUUUGCACAUGGAAAUUCAGUUUGACGCUUGGCAAGCUAGGUGGAAGCUUGGGAAUGAAGCGGGUCAAAUGAAUCAAGUAUGAAGAAAAACAUAAUCAAGAUGCAAGGUACCAUAGUUGAUGAUGUUUGAUGAUGAUAUUGGUGCAUGCUCACAUAGGAA